UGAGGAAUUUUCCACAAUGGACGAAAGUCUGAUGGAGCAACGCCGCGUGCAGGAAGACGGCCUUCGGGUUGUAAACUGCUUUUAUUUGGGAAGAUUAUGACGGUACCAAAUGAAUAAGGAUCGGCUAACUACGUGCCAGCAGCCGCGGUAAUACGUAGGAUCCAAGCGUUAUCCGGAAUUACUGGGCGUAAAGCGUACGUAGGUGGAGAUUUAAGUGAGAUGCGAAAUCUGGCGGCUCAACCGUCUAGACUGUGUCUCAUACUGGGUUUCUUGAGGUUGGCAGAGGCAAGUGGAAUUUCCGGUGUAGCAGUGAAAUGCGUAGAGAUCGGAAGGAACACCAAUGGCGAAGGCAGCUUGCUGGGCCACACCUGACACUGAGGUACGAAAGCGUGGGGAGCGAACAGGAUUAGAUACCCCCGUAGUCC
rnacentral:rRNA from 1 species